rnacentral:tRNA from 1 species
GGGCCUCUAGCUCAACUGGUUAGAGCAGCGGACUUUUAAUCCGUUGGUUGUGGGUUCGAGUCCCACGGGGCCUA